CUAAGUAGCAUGAAGCUCAAUCCAAGCAAGUUUGCCUUCAAAGUGAUCACCUCGAGGAAGUCCUCAGCUUCAUGAUGAUGCAAUGCGGGACUGAAUCCUAUUAGCCUCAGAAUUAAUUUUGAUGAUGCCAAAAUACUUGGGUACAAAUGAUAUAAUGUUGGAUUGAGAGAAUGGGUAUAAGAUUCCUUAUGAUGCUCAAAGGCCAUACAGAAAUUCAAGAGCAAAUCAUCUCCAAAAAAACUAUAGUUCAGAUUUCUCAAAGAUUUUAACA
rnacentral:lncRNA from 1 species